CGCCAGACUCCUACGGGAGGCAGCAGUGGGGAAUAUUGCACAAUGGGGGAAACCCUGAUGCAGCGACGCCGCGUGAGUGAAGAAGUAUUUCGGUAUGUAAAGCUCUAUCAGCAGGAAAGAAAAUGACGGUACCUGACUAAGAAGCCCCGGCUAACUACGUGCCAGCAGCCGCGGUAAUACGUAGGGGGCAAGCGUUAUCCGGAUUUACUGGGUGUAAAGGGAGCGUAGACGGUGAAGCAAGUCUGAAGUGAAAGGCGGGGGCUCAACCCCCGGACUGCUUUGGAAACUGUUUGACUGGAGUGCAGGAGAGGUAAGUGGAAUUCCUAGUGUAGCGGUGAAAUGCGUAGAUAUUAGGAGGAACACCAGUGGCGAAGGCGUCUUACUGGACCGAAACUGACGUUGAGGCUCGAAAGCGUGGGGAGCAAACAGGAUUAGAUACCCUUGUAAG
rnacentral:rRNA from 1 species